rnacentral:tRNA from 1 species
UUUUAUUUUAACUUGGCAGAUAAAUGCCGUUGACUUAGGAUCAGCUUAUAACCAAUGGUUAGU